GUAUGCCUACGGGGCGCAGCAGUGAGGAAUAUUGGUCACUGGGAGAGAUCCUGAACCAGCCAAGCCGCGUGAGGGAAGACGGCCCUAUGGGUUGUAAACCUCUUUUGUCGGAGAACAAAACCCGGGACGUGUCCCGGACUGCGUGUAUCCGAAGAAAAAGCAUCGGCUAACUCCGUGCCAGCAGCCGCGGUAAUACGGAGGAUGCGAGCGCUAUCCGGAUUUAUUGGGUUUAAAGGGUGCGUAGGCGGUCCGUUAAGUCAGCGGAAAAAUUGCGGGGCUCAACCCCGUCGAGCCGUUGAAACGGG
rnacentral:rRNA from 1 species